GACUGUGAUCAUACUAACACUAAACCAUCGAAUCUCAUUAGAACUUCGAAGUUAAGCGUGCUUAGAUAAGAGUAGUACUAGGAUAGGUGACCUCUUAGGAAGUCCUCAUGUUGCACUCC
rnacentral:rRNA from 1 species